UACAGAGGGUGCAAGCGUUAAUCGGAUUUACUGGGCGUAAAGCGCGCGUAGGCGGCUAAUUAAGUCAAAUGUGAAAUCCCCGAGCUUAACUUGGGAAUUGCAUUCGAUACUGGUUAGCUAGAGUGUGGGAGAGGAUGGUAGAAUUCCGAGGUGUAGCGGUGUAAAUGCGUAGAGAUCUGGAGGAUACCGGAUGGCGAAGGCGGCAAGUCCCUG
rnacentral:rRNA from 1 species